UAUCUAUCUAUAUAGCCCCAACUAAAAUAUUUGUAAAUAACUUAUUUACAUAGCGCCAAACCAAAUCCAUGAGAUCAAGACUUUCUUUACUGUUCGAAGGAAGGACACAGUUUGUAGUCAUUGUUGAUUUUUCUUGAGUUCUACAUUAUUCUCCUUUUGAAUCAUUUGGUUGAUAUUUUGAAUUAAUGCCGAAGCCAUGGAUUUGUAUCAUCGGAUUCUGAAUCAGAAUAAGAACAAUCUUGUUCAAAUGAAGAAGAAGGAGAGAACGAGGCGUCAAAGCGCCCUCCAUGAAUUAUUGGAACCCUUCGGAAAAUGCCAAAUCAUAGACAUUCUCAAAGAGGCAGCGGCGAAGGACCCCAAAAUCGUGUUCGGGCUAGGCUGGGAUGCUAAUCACCGACAAGAACACCAGGCUGCGAAAGGGUACGCCUUCGUGAUGUUAAAAACACGUGCUGGGCGAAGAAGGCUCUCAAAGUUUCCCAGAAGAGGAUCAGGAACAGGACCGUCUCUGUGCCUCUGCUGGACCCGUGGCAGCUGAGGGAGGGAAAUUGCUCUUUGUGAUUAAUUCUUUCCCAGUUAUUCAAUCUCGGUUCUUCACGUCAGAUGCUCAACUGCACUGCAAUCCCAGUGAUUACUCGAACCUCCAUUUAGGCAUCUUGGUGUAACCACAUCGCAAGAUCCCACCGAGGAGACCGUUAAGAAAGGUAGAAGUAAGAGAACACAAAGGACUAGAUCUCUCUCUUUCAAUGCUGGACAUUUGUUUUGUUGUUGAAGGCUAUGAGUGCAGAUUUGGAUCCAAUUACUCUUAAGCAAUCGUUGGUGGAGAUAAAGAUUUUUGCGAAGUGGAAAGUGAAUAUUUUUUUUUAUCCAUUUAUACGUGAAUGGAUUAUGCUUCCUGUUCUUGCUGUGAUGGGAUGAUUAUAAAUUCAGCUAUAUAUUAGAGUGGGACAAUAAACUAUACACUUAUUCACUUGUAUUCCGACUCUUCUGUUUUAUUAGUUAUUGAAGCUAAAGAUGGAUAUAUCUCUGUUCCUACUGCAUUUUCUGGUCAUCAAGAAGGAAAGAUCGAUUCUGUAUUUUUAUUACUUGAUACUUCGAUUUUAAAUUUUGAUUGGUUGAAAAUU